UAAUACAGAGACUGCAAGCGUUAUUCGGAUUCACUGGGCGUAAAGGGUGCGCAGGCGGCCAUGUGUGUCAGGUGUGAAAGCCCGAGGCUCAACCUCGGAAUUGCGCCUGAAACUACAUGGCUAGAGUACUGGAGAGGGUAGCGGAAUUCAUGGUGUAGCAGUGAAAUGCGUAGAUAUCAUGAGGAACACCAGAGGCGAAGGCGGCUACCUGGACAGUUACUGACGCUCAGGCACGAAAGCGUGGGGAGCAAAAGGGAUUAGAUACCCCUGUAGUCCACGCCCUAAACGGUGCACACUAGGUCUUGGCGGAUUCGACCCCACCAGGGCCCAAGCUAACGCGUUAAGUGUGCCGCCUGAGGACUACGGCCGCAAGGCUA
rnacentral:rRNA from 1 species